ACUGAGCUAAAUCCCCAGCCCCGGCUUGAAUCUUUUUAAUUGUUAUUAGACCGAGUGUGCUUUCUUAGUGAUUUACAUUCACAUUUCCAUAGGAGCAGAACAACACAGCCUUCUAGCAGGUUCGGUUCUGAACUAGAGAAUGUAGGACAAGACAAAUUUUCGGAACAAGACCACACUGCUGGCUGGACUCACAAGGGGCUAACUACCACACUGGAGUUACACGUGCCACCUGAGGGUAAGACAUGGCCUGUGGAUGGAAGACGGUCUUGACUGUGCUCACCGAGUGAGGGUGAGAAGACACAUCCACUGUGAGUAGAGUAUUCCCUGGGCAGGGGCAGCCCUGAACUGGGAAGCUCUGGCAUUCAUUGCACUGCUCGCUCCUCCACUGAGCUGCAGCCUUCCCAACCCUGACAUGCUUGCUGUGCCUGGAACUGUAAGCCAGCGCAGCCUUCUCCCUUAAGUUGCUUUUGUCAGGUCACGUCUCACAGCAGCAGGAAAAAAGACUAAGUCAGGGGCUGUGUUGGUUUUCCACCACCCAACUGGGUCAGGAAAACUGCCCUGAGAACAAUCACCUCUUGACUCGGUGUAAGAACUAACACAGAGGUGGGAUUAAAAUUUCAGUGUUGCUAAAUAUAAGAUAAAAUAACAUUUUUAAUUUCAGGAUUCACUCAGCACAGUAAAGUUUAAUUCGCUUCUCUCUGUCUCUAUUUACUAUGAAGUUUCUGAUACCUGCUUUAAGUGGGUUCACUUAGGUGACCUUUCUUUACACAUCAGUUAUCCUCUAAUAAAGAGGAUUCCCUACAAGAUCUGAAUUUUAAAGGGAACUUCAGCUUCAGAAUUGCACCGGGGCCGAAUUACACCUCUUCUAACACAGUGAAAAUGAAGGAGAAAUUCUGAGCCUGAAAAAUGGUUUCAAAUCCCAGCUGAAUCACACAGUGGCUGCAGUGACUCGGGGAAACAUCUCUUAACCUCUUUCAGAUCGUUUUCACACCUGCUUUCACACCUGGGAACAAGUGGAAUGUUCCCUCCACCUCACGGUGCUAUUAGGAAAUAACUCCCAGGAGAGCUAACAAGGUGACACCCGGAAGAGCAAUUUUAGUCUGCAGACAGCCAAUUGUUGCUUACGCUUAUGUACCUUGCACUCUUUCUCUACAAAGAGUUCAACCCUCAGCGUGUGGCAUUCAAGAGUCCGCUUAUGAGCUUUCAAAAGUUAUGAGCAGAGACCCGUGCAAAAGAAAUUAGCAGAGGAGGCAAAUAGGUCAUAACAGAUUUGUCAUUUAAAAAAGGAAAAGAAAAAAUAUAAACAAUGAUCAAACUAUGAUUCCAAUCCAAGUGAAAGAAACAGGGUAGAUUUUGGGGAGGGGGGAGAAACUGCAUGUAAGAAAAAGCCAGAAUGAUCUCAGCGUUGAAGAACUUAGCCAGGCAUCACUGUUUUUCUUACAUAAUGGAGCCCCCAAACACAAACGUUGGUAAGACAGCAGCAAUUUGCAGCUUGUGAAGCCCUUCCGUCCACUCUUAUCUGCCGUGCCAGUUGCAUGUCUCUGAGCAUUUUAAGUAGUGCCAUGGCACAGUACCUCAGACGAUAAUGCCAAGUCACGCCACUAAUACACAACUCCACCGAAGACCCUGACAGAAAAUUUUAGCUCUGGGUCAUGCAGUUAUGAAGAGAUAAUCAAAGACACAUUUCUGUGAAAAGCAAGAAUCCUAUUCAAAGCUGUGCAUCUUUGGCCAAUUGUCCUCUGCUUUCUUGUAUUAAAUCUCCAGAGUAAAAAAAAAUAUGAAACAAUAAUGCUUCUAUUUUUGCCCAUCAGAGUCACUAAAGCCUGAUAUGAAGCGAACUGCUCACACUGUCAACAUGGAAUGCAUAAAUCUGCCGGGUAACAGUAAGCUCGAGGAGCACAAAUCACAUCUAGUAUUCUUGUAGCUGUUCCUUAUCAGUAUUUAAGCAGCAGAGACAGUUAGAGCAACAAGCACAGAUAAAAGCACACCACACUAUUUAAAUUCACCCUGUACUCCAGGACCCCAGCACAUGCUCUGUUCUGCACUAGGACUAAACUCCUUAUUUUCAGAUUCAGUGCGUAACUCGAGUCCUAUGAUACUGCAGGAGUCUCGGCUCCUCUGUAUAGCCACAGACCAACUUCAUGCUGCUUAACUGCAAGGAUUACAGACGGGUGGGGUGGAGGAGCCGGGGAUGGGGGUAGAUUCUGUACUCACAGUCCAAAAAGUCCAGGCAAACAAUAAAUAAGAAAAGCUAGUAGAAGAAAUACCAUCGGGCUAAAGUGUACCUUUGUGGUACAGCAUAUAUUUCGAAUGCUCAAGGCCCUGGGCUCAACCCUGGGCAUCAAAAUAGGGAAGUAAUAAAAUCAGAAAAUGAUCUGGGCAAUGUUUUAAUAUUUUUGAAAACUAAAAUAGUUACUGUUUAGACCGAAUCAUGUCAGCCAUGAGGAAUGUGAUUUAAUAAGAGAGCAGAGAUGAGAUGGGGGUGGAGUUUCUAGAACAAUAUACUCAAAAGCAUUUGCAGUGGGUUGAGAAGCUUUGCGGUGGCCAUUUAUUAUGUAUAAAGAGACAUGUAAACAUCACUCAGGCUGUACACGUCAGUGUGUUUACAGCAACACAGGGGAGAAGGAAACACUAAAGGAAGCACAUGGCCCAGUACCUGUCUUUCUUAAACCAUCAGGGGGAAACAGAUCUCAACUCACUUGAUAAGCGGCUGGCUGGAGACUGCACAAUCUCCCCCCAGCAGCUCAUUAAACUGUUAUGUUACCUCGAUAGUCAAUUCCUGCUAACUUAAACGCAAAUCAAAACAUUUUAAUUGAAUCAUGCAUUACAUGACGAAGGGUGCUCUCUGUAUAUAGGAAAUUUGUGGUGAGUCUUUGCAAAGUCAUUCAUUGCUGUGCUCAAGCAACUGGAGUAUCCCUGGCAGGCACAGCUCAGAUGUCAGUACAUCAAGUCUUAAAGCAGAGGACAUCUGUAUUAAAAAAGAUGCUGUAGGUACUCUUACCAUAUACCUUGACAUGGCUCUGACUCACUAUCUAGUUCAGAAAUGAGCAAGAAACUGCACUAAUGACUUGCAAACACAUUGGAUUGGCAUGAAGAAAUGUUUUUGCCCUCCUCAACUAUCUGAGAGCACUAGGAAGGUUUCACUGCAGCAUUAAAGUAAGAUCUUAGGGGAACACUUGCCUUGCCAGUCCUGGGGUACGCCAGUCAUUUACACUGUAGUGGCUGGGUUUGUAUGCUUUUGUUAUCCAUUAGAAAAAAACAAAAGUCUUUCAACAUCAUAGCCCUGAGGAAUGGCAUGUCCAAAUGGGUAGGACUAUUAGCUUAAACAAGAAUGGACAGUAGAGUCUCUGCUGCAUCAUGUGAUCUAUUCACGUUUGAGACUGCUAUAUUUAGAAAACUCCUACAGAACAUGAGAACUGAAAGGCACAAAUCAAACUGCUACCUUCCAGGACUCCAGAAACAAAUGCUAGCCUCUAGAAAGCGUGAGGCAUUUGGGGGUUUGCUUCUGCUGAGAGCCACAGCAGAAUCAGAAUCAACACACACACACCCCACAUUAUACAUCUAAAAACAUUUCUGCUGCAAAGUGCAUUAAACUGUUCCAUACUUGAGAUCAAGGCUUUUACAUAUUAAUGCCAAUGAACCAAUAGCCCAAACCCCAAUGUUUAUCACUACCUGAAAAAUCAAAUUAAAUAUACCACAUGAAGGAGCUAACCAAAUUUUACCUCCAUUAAACCUAAGCCAAGAGUGAGGCCUUGACAAUAGGAUUGAAGAGAUUAGGGCUUAAUUUAAACAGAGUGACUGCAAUAAAACAAUUCAGAUGUGAGCCUUUACGGGAGCAAGUACUUAAGGCACCUCCAGACAAAUAUUUACAUAAACUAUACAACAUUAUAAUCUACUAAAGAUAAAAGAUUCAGGAACCCAUUCAAUCAUAAUUUAGAAUACAAAUAUUACAGGAGGAGGGAAGGAGAAGGCACGGGGAGCUGGGGCCUAUAAGUGAGUGCCCAGUGAAGAUUUUUUCCGAAGGUAAGAGACAGGAUAAAUAAUGGGUGAAAUUAUGAAUGUAUUAACAAAAAGUCGGAGAAGCAUCUGAUUUUGCUGUGCCUGCUGCUGGCCACAUGUCCCACCCCACAGUCAUGCCUGGAGAUCUUAUCUUGAGAGACUUCCCUCCUGUUCGCCGGAGCACUCUCCAUUUGCUAGUUUUGUUUCUCUGGUUCUGAAAUGAUUUCCAAGCACUCUUCCCACUGGCUGGGCUUGGGUACCAAGUCCCCUGCUGCCUGGCUUCCUCCUCAUCAUGUUUACUCUCUCACACUCAGGAAGUCACAGAGAACUCCAGGCAACAGACAUCUUAUCCCGCCUUCUGCAACCCCAGGAAAACAUCCAAGAAAUGUCUCCUGGGGAUCCCUUUGCUACACCCCCUUUUUGCCUUAAAGAGUACAAACCAUAAACAGACAAUAUCCCUUUCGAAUUCUUACGUCACAUAAUUAUAAAUUGCAAUCACCAGAGAUUUCCAGUUUGCAAAAAUCUCCCUGUUAAUGAAAGCUAUGUGUUCAGGUUCAUAAAGCCAAUACCCCAUCUGGUCUUUUAAAGGAGGAAAUUAAUGGAAUCCUCUAGAGAAUUAAGAAAUCUUUGACCAUGAACCUGAAAAUGAGCCUCUGAGACUCAAUAAUCUGAUUAGUUAAACUGGGUGAGCAUGAUGACAGAAUGGACCUUAAAUGGGAAGAUCCAGAGCUAGGAGCAGAUGCGAGACUCAAGAAGUGGCUUACAUCCAAACCCAGCGUCACUCGGCUGGCUCUUCUACAGAUUCAUCAAGGGAACACAUUUUCAUCCUCAGCACUUGCAUCUCCACUGUGCCCAUGUCCUGAAGGAUACUUAUCUACAGGAUGAGAUGCUUUUUUGAAUGCUAAAGCCAUAGUAUCUUCCCAUGGCCUCCUUAGGAAUCUCAUCCUCUCCAGGGUCACCUUGAAAUACUCAAGAGAUGUAUUUAUAACAGAUGAGAUGUAUUUCUCAACAGAUGUGUGCUUGAGAAUUACCUGGAGAACUUCAAAGGGGAAACAUGGCCAGGUCCUACACUGCAACUCUCGAGCUCUUUGGAGCCUUAAGCACCCAGCAACACAAUACACAAAGACAAGGCCACACAAGAGAUCAUCACACAGAGUCUAGGCACAGCAGAAAACUAAGACCUGGCUUCCCCAUGAUGGCUGAAAUUCCUCAUGUCCUCGACUGCUUGAUACUGCCAGCCAAGCUCUGGCCCCAUGUGCAAAGGAAGCAUCCAAGGGCGCUGGCACUCCUGCAGUGUUCAACAGGCUGUUCCAGGCACGAACUCUGAAAGUUGCCAUUACACUCAUGGAGCUGGCAUCCCAGGGUGUCACAGGUGUGUUGAUAGUUGGUGCAGUCUGCUUUGUUUACAAUUUCCUGCCCAAUAAAUUGCAUGUUUCUACAGAUGUCUAACAAAUUCAGGACAUUUACUCCCUCAGCUGUCACUACCCUGCCGUUUAUCUCCUCCUCAUCCAUCGGUUCUGAUGGUAUCCAAAGACACGUUCACCGGCAUUAGAAAAGGUCAUUAAAAAGCUCUUACAACCAUCUGUACCCAGAUGGACAGGUCUCCAGCCAAAAUGGAAGAGGUUCCCGCUCAAAGGGACCCAGAGGACCGGAUGCCACACGGUACCACAGUUGGAUUUUAAUUAUUGUUUGUGGGUCCUGAAUUAUUUACAUUUGAGCUGUAAAUCUUAAUGACCCAUGCCAUGUUCUUCUUGGCUUACCAAUGAUGAACAAAGCCAGAGCAGAAUCAUUUACCUGAUUCAAUGAUGCUGCAGGAGAGAGGCCAAAGAAAAGUGUAUCUUCCUAAAUCGCCUUGCACAGGUCUUGGAGCAAAUUAUUGUCACUCGGAUUCUUGUCUACCCUAUUUGUUAUACACUUAUCAGAGAAUCCCCCACUGCUGUCAUAAUAUCUCUCAGUGGUACAUGUACUUUGGACAGGACAUGUUUUAUUCCUUGACCUCUAUCUUGCAUAUAGAAAUAUUUUUAUUUUGUUCAGUGAAAGUGCAAUUGGGCGAUGCUAGUUCGCUUGUUUUUGAGACAGACACUCACUGUGUAGCUGAGGGUGGCCUUUCAUUCAUAAAGUUCUUGCUUCCGUUCCCCAGGGUUAUGGUUCUAUGUGUGUAUAACCACAUCUGGCUAUCCCCCCCGCCACCACCACAUACACACACAUACCUUAAUUAUGCUCUUCUGGUUUUCUUUCUAUUUUGAGACAAGGUUUUAUGUAUCUCAGGCUAGCCCUUAAUUCAGUUAUGUUACUAAAGAUGACCUGGAACUUCAGAUCCUCCUGCUUCCCCUUUACAAGGGUUGGGAUAUGCGCAUGAACCAAGGGUAGAUAGUAGUGCUGGGUUACAGGCCCUAGGCUUCAUGCAUAGUAGGCAAGCACAUUGCCAACUAAGCGAGCUACAUCCCUAGCCUCAGAAUGAUUUUUUUUUAAAAAUAAGAUAGUCUACAACAUGUUACAGAUGAAUUUGCUGGUGCAAACUUCCAGAGUGAACGGGUUAAAGACCACAAUGCAUCUUGGCAAAGUUGGCAUUACUGCAGCCAAAAUCGGAAACACUCAAGGUCCUUUCACCACACAACCUUGCCAAGAAAAAUGAGAUUGAUCCAGGGUUUGAACUCACCUUACCCUGAGUAAAUGAGAAAAGUGAUGUCCUUUUGGGCACCAAUGUUUAGCCACCUAGACAUCUCUGUCUGAAGAACUGACCUUCAAGUCCAUGUUAGUCAGUUCUGAGUGAGAGCCUGACCCGAGUGAACAGAGCUGGGCAAGCACACGUUACAGAGUCGCUGCAGAACUUCACAACACCAUCUCUGCCUGCCCUUCAGAACCCCAAGCAGGCAUGCUCACCAGCGGUGCCAAACUGUUCAACUCAUCAAGUCUAUGAACACUGCAUACGGAAUGCAAACAUUUUCCUCCAUUUGGGCAAACAUUGGCACAGAUAACUUUUCUUUCCAAUGUUAACAGCAGGGAGCUUAAAUAAAAGUUCAGUUUCUCCAAGGGUGGGGGAAGAGAAAAAAAUUCUAAUUCUAAAAAUGUCAUCAGCAGCUUGCCGCCGCAGCCGCCGGAGACACUGUACAUGUUUCCCUCAAGUAUGGUUCGCUCAAAUGAACUUGACAGCUUCAGGGAUCACUUAAAAGAAAGAAAAUUUGUUGCAUGAGGCCUGCCAGACACAAAAGGAUCACGUCUCAACAGAUGAGACUUGAUAGAGCCCCAUCUUAAAUAUUUCUGUACGAUGAUUAUGUGAACUCAGAAUUAGUGCUCUGUCACACAUCUGCGUGCAGGCCUGUGCCCUGAGGGUGUUCCUCCAGCCCAUUCACAGGACUCUCCACUAGUAGCUGCCAAUUAACUCUGAAAUCUUGCUACUGCUAUUAGUUUCUACCAAAUGAAUUAAGGGACAUCUGGGCAUACAAGCAAAAUUCCACAGCUAAACUUAAAAAUAAGCUGUUUUCCCCUUGACUGCAGGUGUGUGCAGGUCAGAUAAACAAUUUUAACUGUGUUACAAAUUACAGGUGUCAAUACCUUCUCUAAGCCCAGCUAGUGCUGGAGAGAGAUGUAUGCAGGCAGGCCAUUGACUGAAAUGGGACUAUUCAGAAUAGGUUUCCGUUUAAACCUAAUUCUCCAGUUUCUGAAAACCCGGUAAAAACCAGGUGUGAAUAUGCUCGUUUGACCCGAAGCUGUAGCUCUCAGACAUCUGAUUAAAAGGAAAAGCAGGUAGGCAUUACAACUCCCCAGAAAGCCACAAAAAUAAAAGGCUCCAUCUUCAAGAAUGCUGACUCCAAUUACACCACCAUGGUGGGGAGAAGGUCAGAUCAGCGGCCCGGAGCUGUGCAAGCCCAUGGCAGCUAAGCGAUCAGGCAGGUGAGGCAGCUCAGCACAUCUAUUUGUUUUCUCAGCCUCCUAACCAUAACCCAGAUUUCUGGAUCCUGGUCCUUAUACAAAGGCAACAUUUUACAAGUGAAUGGUCAGCGUGAUCUGACCUCCAAAAUGAUGAGAGAAAAAUUAGAGGCCAAUCUUUAAUAUUAAAUAUUUCAAAUCUUUGUAACAGCAGCCCUCUAGAUUUAACUCCAGACUUGUCAGGAACUGACCAUCAUGUUUUUAGCCACUGUGUUUAUUCCUAACACUCAGAAAUAUCUUCAAAAGAAAACUCAAAGUUGGUUGGAAGUGCUUUUAAAAUACACUUGCAAAACAUUGUCUAAAGGAGAAAAGAAAAAAGCAAAGAAGAGAAAACUGGUUACUAAAUACACUAAGUCUUGAAAAUGCUAAAAGCUGGGCCUCCUCAUAUAAAAAAUGUGCAUUUUAAUACAGCAAACAGGAAAGAUAACCCAGAACAGCAACAAGAAGCUAAAACUUAUGUGGGCCUUGACAUAGGCAGGCGUCAGCCUCCAGUGUUCUGGUAAAGACCAAAGGAUAGAAGUUGUGAUAUGAGUUCAAUGUUAGAUCCUGGGUUUCCAUUAAACAGUAAAAUUACAGAGCAUGCACAAAUGACAGUGGCUUUGUUGACUUCCCCCUUGAAAGAGAAUCCUUCACUGUAAUCUUGUAACAGUCAUCUCCACAGAUUACACUUGCACCUGGACAAACUUAAAAUAUUCAUUACUUAGCAAGAGGAAAUUAAAAUACAAAACAAAAAAAUAGUAAAAUUAACAACAACAAAAACUACCUAUUGUUAGAUCUGAGCAGCCUCAUAACUUUCCUUGUGGAUCACAAAGGAGACACUGUGAGCAUUUCCAGAAGGGACAGCAAUUCAUUCUUUUGAUUUUUAACUUGAGAAGACAUCUUGGUAUGUUUAUUCUUGGUUCCCAGUUCUUACCAUUGACACUGUGACCGAAACUCCAUUUUGCACAUUAUUAACUAAUAAGAGUGGAACUCUUAGCUUCCACUCAUCUGAAAUGCAGAACGCAUACAUAUUUUACCAAAAGGUUUACUAUGCAUAUUAAUCUUUUAUGCAUUUUAUUCCUCAGAGUGUGAAAAGAGACAACUUGAAGUAAUAGAGACUGCCAGGUGUUGGUGGCACCCCUUCCACUGUAAUGACAGCCAUGACUUAAGAUUUUGUCUCGCUCUACUCUGCCUCUGAAUUGCAAAUCUUCAGGUUGCCACAGCAACUCUAUACAGUGACAGACUUUUACCGAAAACGGCAUGCCAUAAACCAAUUUAAUUCAAGGUAACCCAAGCUGCUGGAUGAAAAGGAGCCCAAAAAAAUGAACAGAAGGAAGAAAACGCAAACGUUUCAAGUUACGUGGGAGCCUUAGUCACACACUGAAAUGAGCACAAAUGAACAGACCAUGGGUUCCCAGGACCGAUGAGGUACCCUCCAAAUAUAAUCCCCAAUUCCCGUUAUUAGGAUAAACCGGCCAUUAUGUCGGGUUUUGCCUUUUAAAGAGAUAGAGCCAAGGAAAUCCUUUACUGAAGAGAAUUACCUUGUGCCAGCACAUCAGUGACUUCAAUGAUGUUCAGAGGACAUCCUAGGAUCCCUUUUAUGUUGUUCUCUUGUGAGCCGUGGACAGGAGUAUAGGGAAUUCUCCACUCAGAAAAUACUCAAUUAUUUUAACAGGAUUACAUUGUAAAUUGACAAUGCUUAAAAUAGCCCCCUGAAUUUAUUAGCUUGCCAGCACUUCAAAUACGCAAUUUUAAUGCAAAGAUCUUUUAAGUUUAAGUAAAGGACUGGCAAUGAGUCAAGAAACAUCUCCUCUGGCUUUCUAAGACAGGACACUUCACCAUCAAAUGGGAGCUCACAAGCUUAGAAGGAAGGACCUUCACACUGGGUUCUAUAGGCCUAUGAUUUUUGCUCUGGUUUUAAAGACAGGACUAUCUCUGAACAUUCAUCCUUCAUUACUCCAUUUUAGUUUGGAAAGCAUCUGUCUUGAUUAGACAGAAGUUGACUGCAAGGUUCUACAGAACCUCUAACAGAGGCAUCCUGCUCCUUAGUCCUCAUUGCGGUCCCAUCACUUCACCUAACCCCUCCCUUAGCUACAAAGCAAUAUAUAUCUGAUCUAGGAGAGCUGCCAAUCCCAUGAGAAGCACCAGACUUUUUAACCAGCCCAGUGAUCAGUCCUCCAGUGCCCACCCUUUCCCCCAUAUUAUUCACUAACUCAUUCCUACUGUGUGUGAGUGUGUGUGUGUGUGUGUGUGUGUGUGUGUGUGUGUGUAAGAUUUCCUCACAUAACUGUGUUUAAUUUAGAUUAACAUUGUUAGCUGGGCAGAGGGUUCCCAAAUGCAUUCCUAGAACCCUGGACACACCCUUUGCCUUCUUGAUUUUCUUUGCUGGUCUGUUUCCAAACAGUAAUUCUGUUUUUCCUAAUCAUCCCCUACCUUCACCAGACUUGGGGUUCUUGCUUUUGUUUAGGGGAGGGAGACCCACCUAGCAUUUUCUUCUUGGUUCUUUUGUCACGCUCAUUCAGUCCCAUGAGCUGAAAUACAACUGAGGUAGUAACGACGGCGAGGCAUAUAAUUGGUUAGUUCCAUCCCAGGAGCCCACGUCUUAGACUUAAUCCUCGGAGGGCUUAGCUCCUCUGACUGAUGAUGCGGCAGUUUAUGUGCUCAGUUAUCAAGAGACUCAAUUAAAGAACUGAGGGUGGUGCUUGCAAAUUCAUCUUCGGUUGCAGCUCACUGCUGUGGUCUAGAAGCAAUGCUCUAUGCACAACAAAGCUUCUAAAAGAGCUAGAUCUGGUUUAUUAAUCAUGGCUCUACCCCCUGCUUCUAACAUGGAGCUUAUGGUGCUAUAGUAGUGUAUUCACUGCUCUUUCUGUGGUCAUGGAUAAAUGGAAGAGCCGCUUCAGGGGGGUCCCGGUCAGAGUUGAGCCCUGUCCCCUUUGCUCUGCCCUGAUUAUCUUUGAUGCUCUGAACAGCACUGCAGUAGACAUGAGAACAAGCAAUUCUUCCUAUGAGUGUGAUGUCUACCAGAGUCAGCUGAGUCGCUUCAAAAACUACAUGGCCCAGAAACAUCUCAGCCUCCUGCCUCAAACCAAGAGGAGAAUUGCAAAGACUAAGCCAAACCUGGCAGAGUAGCAGGUCCUAUAAGAACACGGACUGCUGGCAGGAACAGUUCUUCCCAAGUAGACAAUGUUCCACUUCAGAUGGGGGUAAUGGUGAGAAGCAGCAGGCCCACCCAACCACUGAAAGGACAAUGGCGUGACACUGUGCUAGUCUCAGCAUGGUAGGUCCUUUCCAGGGCCGAAGGAUUGGAAAUGCUCUCAUUUUUUUCUUUACUUGCUUUUGGGUGGAAGUGUCAAAAGGCGGCGAGGCCUAGACAAACAUGAGCCUAAGACCAAAUUCUCUCCAUCUUAAAGUGCAGGUCCAAGUUGCAUCAGCCCCAGACUCCUAGUUGUUUCUGUCAGAUUUAUUUUAGAUAUUUCUAUGCAGACAAAUCAAUGCAGGAAGACAUCUUCUUGCCUGGGAAUUGCUUGUUUUGCCGGGUAACUGCAGUUUCACAGGAAAAGAGAGCUGUAGGAAGACAUGCAACCAAAUGCCCCUUAGACUGGCCUUCCGUCAGGAGAAACGUAACUCCUAAACCCUAAACAGGUCAGAACUGAAAUGCCAAAGUUGAAUUACAAUGGGAUGUUAAAGAAAGUUACUUGGUGGCUUGCCUUUUUUACAGCUAUUUUUCUACUACUAUAGACUUGAUUUACGCAUAGCCAUCAAAAUGACACCUGUAACUGGAAGCUACGGUAUAGAUUUCACAUAACUCUGGCAGAGGUGGGGAAAGAGGGAGGUUUGUCAUGGUGUCUCUCUUCUCAAUCAAAAGAAGAACGUAAUAAAAAAGGAAAAUAAAACAGAAUUCCCCACUAAUGACAUACAGCUCUAAGACACGUGAAUGCAGACAGGCCUAGGGAGCUUUGCGGGCCUUUGUGAGAUGCCGGAGAGCUGAUUUUAACAUACCAGUUGUCAUAGCAAGGCAGGGGGAUUUGAGAGCGCAUUUCUGUUUUGACAUCUGGCCCAUAACAAAAUUACUAUUGAUCUGUUGUGAGCUUCCAGCAAAGGAGUACAACCUAGUCUCAGAACAAAGCAGCGUCCACUAAAUAACAGGCAAUAAUCAUCCUGAAUUUGUGUCUUUCCCUCAAAAUCACAUCUCGGCUGGUGUUCUGCUUGGAGCAUUUUGGAAUAAGCUUCCCAUUCCUGAAUAGGGGUGUCCAGACCUCUUUUUAAAAAAAAAAAAAACGAAUCUUCCCAUGAUCGGAUUGAUUCUGCCUUCUGUCUCCCAGAAGCCUGUGGCAUCAGCAGGAUAAUGCUGACAUCUACCUUGUGCACACACGUUGGUUUUGCGGCUGAUUCUGGAAACUGACAGGGCAAGCAUUAUUUUCCAACAGAUGUUCUACAGGCAGUAGAAAAGAAGCGACGGAACAAAUCAGUCAGAACUGUUCACGGGGUUGGGGAGGGGUGAAAGAAAAGGAAGGAGAAGAAGAAGGAACAACCAUAGGUCUCGUUUCUAAUUUAUUUUCAUUGCUCUGGAAAAAUUUAUAGGCAAGUGCCACUCACAAAUGACACAGCUUUCAUUAAAAUGAUCGGUUAGAAUUUUGAGUAGACUGUAUUUUUCAACGAUACUAAUAAAGCAUUAGGGAGCGUUUACAUAAUGUCAUUUACCCCAGGGGAGCUAGUUCUUUCCCUAGCAUGGUUCAGCUAAACACUGACCAUCCUCCCCACCCCCAGGCAAGUAAGUCUCCAGUCAUUUCAGGCCUUAGUCAUUUACAUCCCCAACGACAUCACUUCUCUCCUCUUCUCCUCCCCAGAACGAAGCUGUAUGAACCAAGCAGCUAUCUGAUGGUUUCCUUUGCCUGCAUCAGUCAAAAGAAGACAAACAAUAUAGAUCAAGUGCAUCGGUGCUCUAGACCACA
rnacentral:sRNA from 1 species